CUGUACACACACGGUCACUUUGCUCCCCGAGCCUCCCUAGCCCUUCCACACCGCUCGCACACGCGGUUUCAAGCAACAGCCCUGGACUCGCUCCCCACACCACGGGAGAGCGUAUUGUGUUUAAGCGGCAGAUCACGACACAGCAGCCCCUGCGCUGCCAUAUCUGCAUGGGACCCGCCCUGUCCGUGACGUCACGACAAGCAGCCCUUCCCUCCAGCCCACGCCCCGCCGCCACCGUCUCCUCCCUCCUCCCGCGACCUCCAGCCGGUCAGCCGGCGAACCGGCGGCCGGUGGGGGAAGUCACGUCGGCCUCUCCCUCCUUCCUCCCACUCCGACCCGUUGGGGCGGCGCGCGCGGCUUCCUAACUCUAGCCCUGCCCAGCGCCUGUCUGGCGGUCGGCUCAACCCCUGCGCCCUUCUGGAAGUAAUGGCUUCCCGUUACAGAGGAAACCGGUUCCUUUCAAAUCCACUUAUCUUUGUGAUGUAGCGCUGUGUGUGUGUGUGUGUGUGUGUGUGUGUGUGUCUAUUUGAUGCGGGCUCGGUGAGUCCAGGAGUUGAAAGAAAGAUUUCUUGGACUCUCAAGGUCUGGCAGUGGUGCUCUUUUAUUCAGAGAAUAGUAUGGAAUGGCAUGGGGAUAGGACCCAUGGGCAGUGAAGGGCUGCUGCAUGGGGACAGGACCCAUGGGCAGUGAAGAGCUGCUGCAGUGUGUUGAGAGUUGGGGCUAAAUUUAUAAGGCAUGGGUACCUGACUUAUUUCUACCACACAAAGAAAAGAUGACGUAAGAAGUCAUUAAAUGGUUUCAGUGCAGAUGGGGUCUGGUUACUGUGUGGUCUAUAACUUUAGAUGUGAAUCUGGUCAUAGAGAUGGGCAUGUAGGCCAGGACACCUUGGGCUUCUCUCCCUGGGGCAGCCUUGAUCUGUGGAUCAUAUUGAAUCAUAUUGAAACGCAUUAAGCAUCACGACUGCCAGCGAAAGCUGUUCCGUUCUUGAAAGUUCAGUUUCGUCCAUCGAAAAUUUCAUUCACGUUACUUUCAAUCUUUAGGUGUGCAAAAGCGUUUUGGAUGCUUUUUUCCCCAUCCCCUUUCUGGGACACGUGUUAUGGUGAACGAAGAAUCAGGACCCCUCUCCCCGGUCUAACAGGCAAAACUGGCAAGCAAGCCGCAUAGGCUUAGAGUCAGUGCAAAAUCUAGGCUGUACAGCGAGGCGGCCUUGGAGGUCAUCUUAAGCCUGUGUCAGA
rnacentral:lncRNA from 1 species